CUUGCCUUGUGAUUUGUUGGUCGUUAUGGGCGUUGCCAUGAUGUAUUCAGCGCCGCUUUAUGCUGCCGUCCAGGAGGUGAAGGAGCACUGAUCGACGAGCUGUCUGUCGCUGCGGACGUCGCGCUGAGGAACAACGAGGACUUGAUGCGGGUAAACAUGAGGGCUGUUAUCUCUCUCGUGGCUUUCGCAGUCAUCUGGAGCAGUGUGGAGUCCAAAACAUCCGCACCACAGGUUAACGUGUACAGUCACGAGCCUGGGGCGCUCGGGAAGCCAAACACCCUGAUCUGUGACGUUAAGGGCUUCCACCCACCUGACAUUACGAUCGAACUCCUGAAGAAUGGCGAGGAAAUCCCUGGGGCCG